GAUGAACGCUGGCGGCGUGCUUAACACAUGCAAGUCGAACGGUGAAGCAGGAGCUUGCUCUUGUGGAUCAGUGGCGAACGGGUGAGUAACACGUGAGCAACCUGCCCCUGACUCUGGGAUAAGCGCUGGAAACGGCGUCUAAUACUGGAUAUGUGAUGUGACCGCAUGGUCUGCAUCUGGAAAGAACUUCGGUUGGGGAUGGGCACGCGGCCUAUCAGCUUGUUGGUGAGGUAAUGGCUCACCAAGGCGUCGACGGGUAGCCGGCCUGAGAGGGUGACCGGCCACACUGGGACUGAGACACGGCCCAGACUCGUACGGGAGGCAGCAGUGGGGAAUAUUGCACAAUGGGCGGAAGCCUGAUGCAGCAACGCCGCGUGAGGGAUGACGGCCUUCGGGUUGUAAACCUCUUUUAGCAGGGAAGAAGCGAAAGUGACGGUACCUGCAGAAAAAGCACCGGCUAACUACGUGCCAGCCGCCGCCGUAA
rnacentral:rRNA from 1 species